rnacentral:rRNA from 1 species
ACCCCGAGGAAAAGAAAUCAACCGAGAUUCCCCCAGUAGCGGCGAGCGAACGGGGAGGAGCCCAGAACCUGAAUCAGCGUAUGUGUUAGUGGAAGCGUCUGGAAAGUCGCACGGUACAGGGUGAUAGUCCCGUACACAAAAAUGCAUAUGUUGUGAGUUCGAUGAGUAGGGCGGGACACGUGACAUCCUGUCUGAAUAUGGGGGGACCAUCCUCCAAGGCUAAAUACUCCUGACUGACCGAUAGUGAACCAGUACCGUGAGGGAAAGGCGAAAAGAACCCCGGCGAGGGGAGUGAAACAGAACCUGAAACCGUGUACGUACAAGCAGUGGGAGCACCUUCGUGGUGUGACUGCGUACCUUUUGUAUAAUGGGUCAGCGACUUAUAUUUUGUAGCAAGGUUAACCGAAUAGGGGAGCCGUAGGGAAACCGAGUCUUAACUGGGCGAAUAGUUGCAAGGUAUAGACCCGAAACCCGGUGAUCUAGCCAUGGGCAGGUUGAAGGUUGGGUAACACUAACUGGAGGACCGAACCGACUAAUGUUGAAAAAUUAGCGGAUGACUUGUGGCUGGGGGUGAAAGGCCAAUCAAACCGGGAGAUAGCUGGUUCUCCCCGAAAGCUAUUUAGGUAGCGCCUCGUGAACUCAUCUUCGGGGGUAGAGCACUGUUUCGGCUAGGGGGUCAUCCCGACUUACCAAACCGAUGCAAACUCCGAAUACCGAAGAAUGUUAUCACGGGAGACACACGGCGGGUGCUAACGUCCGUCGUGAAGAGGGAAACAACCCAGACCGCCAGCUAAGGUCCCAAAGUCAUGGUUAAGUGGGAAACGAUGUGGGAAGGCACAGACAGCCAGGAUGUUGGCUUAGAAGCAGCCAUCAUUUAAAGAAAGCGUAAUAGCUCACUGGUCGAGUCGGCCUGCGCGGAAGAUGUAACGGGGCUAAACCAUGCACCGAAGCUGCGGCAGCGAACGUAUCACUUAAAACGCUUAACGUGACGGCAAAGCCGGCAUGUUCAAGCCACACUAAACGUUGAGUUGGCCGAUGUGCUGACAAACGAACAGGCGUUUUAAGGAUACGUUCGUUGGGUAGGGGAGCGUUCUGUAAGCCGUUGAAGGUGGCCUGUGAGGGUUGCUGGAGGUAUCAGAAGUGCGAAUGCUGACAUAAGUAACGAUAAUGCGGGUGAAAAACCCGCACGCCGGAAGACCAAGGGUUCCUGUCCAACGUUAAUCGGGGCAGGGUGAGUCGACCCCUAAGGCGAGGCUGAAAAGCGUAGUCGAUGGGAAACAGGUUAAUAUUCCUGUACUUGGUGUUACUGCGAAGGGGGGACGGAGAAGGCUAGGCUAGCCGGGCGACGGUUGUCCCGGUUUAAGCAUGUAGGCGGAGUGACCAGGUAAAUCCGGUUGCUUAUCAACGCUGAGGUGUGAUGACGAUGCACUACGGUGCAGAAGUAGUUGAUGCCAUGCUUCCAGGAAAAGCCUCUAAGCAUCAGGUAACAUGAAAUCGUACCCCAAACCGACACAGGUGGUCAGGUAGAGAAUACUCAGGCGCUUGAGAGAACUCGGGUGAAGGAACUAGGCAAAAUGGUGCCGUAACUUCGGGAGAAGGCACGCUGGCAUUAGGUAAAGGGACUUGCUCCCGGCGCCGAAGCCAGUCGCAGAUACCAGCUGGCUGCAACUGUUUAAUAAAAACACAGCACUGUGCAAACACGAAAGUGGACGUAUACGGUGUGACGCCUGCCCGGUGCUGGAAGGUUAAUUGAUGGGGUCAGCCGCAAGGCGAAGCUCUUGAUCGAAGCCCCAGUAAACGGCGGCCGUAACUAUAACGGUCCUAAGGUAGCGAAAUUCCUUGUCGGGUAAGUUCCGACCUGCACGAAUGGCGUAAUGAUGGCCAGGCUGUCUCCACCCGAGACUCAGUGAAAUUGAACUCGCUGUGAAGAUGCAGUGUACCCGCGGCAAGACGGAAAGACCCCGUGAACCUUUACUAUAGCUUGACACUGAACAUUGAGCCUUGAUGUGUAGGAUAGGUGGGAGGCAUAGAAGUGUGGACGCCAGUCUGCAUGGAGCCAACCUUGAAAUACCACCCUUUAAUGUUUGAUGUUCUAACUCGGCCCCGUAAUCCGGGGUGAGGACAGUGUCUGGUGGGUAGUUUGACUGGGGCGGUCUCCUCCCAAAGAGUAACGGAGGAGCACGAAGGUUAGCUAAUCACGGUCGGACAUCGUGAGGUUAGUGCAAAGGCAUAAGCUAGCUUGACUGCGAGAGUGACGGCUCGAGCAGGUACGAAAGUAGGUCUUAGUGAUCCGGUGGUUCUGAAUGGAAGGGCCAUCGCUCAACGGAUAAAAGGUACUCCGGGGAUAACAGGCUGAUACCGCCCAAGAGUUCAUAUCGACGGCGGUGUUUGGCACCUCGAUGUCGGCUCAUCACAUCCUGGGGCUGAAGUAGGUCCCAAGGGUAUGGCUGUUCGCCAUUUAAAGUGGUACGCGAGCUGGGUUUAGAACGUCGUGAGACAGUUCGGUCCCUAUCUGCCGUGGGCGUUGGAAGAUUGAGAGGGGCUGCUCCUAGUACGAGAGGACCGGAGUGGACGAAUCACUGGUGUUCGGGUUGUCAUGCCAAUGGCAUUGCCCGGUAGCUAAAUUCGGAAGAGAUAACCGCUGAAAGCAUCUAAGCGGGAAACUUGCCUCGAGAUGAGUCUUCCCUGGGGCUUUAAGCCCCCUGAAGGAACGUUAAAGACGAUGACGUUGAUAGGCUGGGUGUGUAAGUGCAGCGAUGCAUUGAGCUAACCAGUACUAAUGAACCGUGAGGCUUAACCUU